rnacentral:lncRNA from 1 species
CUCAAAUCACUUCUGCGGGUUUUUUGUUUGUUUGUUUUUUGUUUUGUCUUUCCUCUAGGGUCCAUCAGCAGGCCCACUGCGGUACUCUGAUGAACGCCAUGACAGCCUUACUAGUUCCUAAAAGAAAAUUUGGAAAUACUUGGCGGGGCGUGGUGUGCUACAUGCAGAAGGAUGUCAAAUUUGAGCCCAGGCUGGCUUCAGGCUGAGGCUGGAAGAUUGUAAGUUCAAGACCAGACUGCACAACACAAUGAGUUCUGAGCUAGCCUGGCCUACACGUACUGGGAUAUCGAACUGGAGUUGGAGGCAGCUGAUAGAUGCCAGGCGGGUGCCAGGAACUGAACCCAAGUCCUUCAGAACAGAGACGAGCUCUGAAGAGCCAACUGUCUGGGCCGAAGGAGCUAUGUUUGAAUUUCCAGCACUUACGUAAAAAGCCAGACAUAGCUAUAUGUGCUGUAAUCCUAGCACUGAGGCCGACUGACAGACCCCAGGAGCUUUCUGGACAGUCGUCCUAGCCUCUGAGCUGCUGGCUUUGUGGGAGAGGAUGUGCCUAAUCUUGCCGAGACUUGAUGCAACAAGGUCGGGGAUACCUGAGGGGGGGGGACCCUCUCAGAGGAAAAGGGGAUGGAGGAUGGGGGUAGAGACUCUGAGGGGGGAGCCCCAGAGAGGAGGUGGCAUUUUGGAUGUAAAUAAAUAAGUAAAUAAAAAAUAAAUCAUUGUAACUGGGCAUGAUGACACACGUGUUUAUAAUGCCAGGACUUGGGAGGCGGAGGAAUGUGGAUCU